rnacentral:rRNA from 1 species
AGUGAACGCUGGCGGUAGGCCUAACACAUGCAAGUCGAACGGCAGCACAGAGGAGCUUGCUCCUUGGGUGGCGAGUGGCGGACGGGUGAGGAAUACAUCGGAAUCUACUCUGUCGUGGGGGAUAACGUAGGGAAACUUACGCUAAUACCGCAUACGACCUACGGGUGAAAGCAGGGGACCUUCGGGCCUUGCGCGAUUGAAUGAGCCGAUGUCGGAUUAGCUAGUUGGCGGGGUAAAGGCCCACCAAGGCGACGAUCCGUAGCUGGUCUGAGAGGAUGAUCAGCCAAACUGGAACUGAGACACGGUCCAGACUCCUACGGGAGGCAGCAGUGGGGAAUAUUGGACAAUGGGCGCAAGCCUGAUCCAGCCAUACCGCGUGGGUGAAGAAGGCCUUCGGGUUGUAAAGCCCUUUUGUUGGGAAAGAAAUCCAGCUGGCUAAUACCCGGUUGGGAUGACGGUACCCAAAGAAUAAGCACCGGCUAACUUCGUGCCAGCAGCCGCGGUAA